rnacentral:lncRNA from 1 species
CUCAGGACUAUAUCAAGAGACAUGCUCUGAUCUUUAUGUUACUUGUCAAGUUUUUGCAGAAGGGAAGCCUUUGGCCUUGCCAGUGAGAACAUCCUACAAAGCAUUUAGUACAAGAUGGAACUGGAAUGAAUGGCUGAAACUACCAGUAAAAUACCCUGACCUGCCCAGGAAUGCCCAAGUGGCCCUCACCAUAUGGGAUGUGUAUGGUCCCGGAAAAGCAGUGCCUGUAGGAGGAACAACGGUUUCGCUCUUUGGAAAAUACGGCAUGUUUCGCCAAGGGAUGCAUGACUUGAAAGUCUGGCCUAAUGUAGAAGCAGAUGGAUCAGAACCCACAAAAACUCCUGGCAGAACAAGUAGCACUCUCUCAGAAGAUCAGAUGAGCCGUCUUGCCAAGCAGAAGUGAUGCUGCGUCUGUUCCAGGCAAGACAGCGUGACAGCUUUGGUUUCUUCACAUGUUAGGAACAUUAAGCCAUCAUGUAAGAAGUCCAGCUAUUCUGUUGGAGUGACCAAGUUGAAAAACCACUUGGAGAGGGAGCAGCACUGAGAAUACGUGGGGAAAGAGAGGCCCUACCACCCUGGUAUCCCGGCUAAGCCCACCCUUUAUCACCAAGGUGUUAGAAAUCUCACCAAAGCUCAUCGACAAGGACACAUGGUGAAAGUAGAUUGGCUGGAUAGAUUGACAUUUA